AACGAACGCUGGCGGCAUGCCUAACACAUGCAAGUCGAACGGUGCCUUCGGGCACAGUGGCGCACGGGUGAGUAACACGUGGGAACCUGCCUUUCGGUUCGGAAUAACGUUUGGAAACGAACGCUAACACCGGAUACGCCCUUCGGGGGAAAGUUUACGCCGAGAGAGGGGCCCGCGUCGGAUUAGGUAGUUGGUGAGGUAACGGCACACCAAGCCGACGAUCCGUAGCUGGUCUGAGAGGAUGAUCAGCCACACUGGGACUGAGACACGGCCCAGACUCCUACGGGAGGCAGCAGUGGGGAAUAUUGGACAAUGGGCGCAAGCCUGAUCCAGCAAUGCCGCGUGAGUGAUGAAGGCCUUAGGGUUGUAAAGCUCUUUCGCACGCGACGAUGAUGACGGUAGCGUGAGAAGAAGCCCCGGCUAACUUCGUGCCAGCCGCCGCGGUAACAC
rnacentral:rRNA from 1 species